ACGAACGCUGGCGGCGUGCCUAACACAUGCAAGUCGAACGAGAAAGUUCCUUCGGGAGCGAGUAAAGUGGCGCAAGGGUGAGUAACACGUGAAUAAUCUGCCCCCAAACCCGGGAUAACUUGGCGAAAGCCGAGCUAAUACUGGAUAAGACCACGUUUCAUAAGAGACGCGGUAAAAGGAGUCAAAAGCUUUGUUUGGGGAUGAGUUCGCGGACCAUUAGCUAGUUGGUGAGAUAACAGCCCACCAAGGCAAUGAUGGUUAGCCGGCCUGAGAGGGUGAUCGGCCACACUGGAACUGAGACACGGUCCAGACUCCUACGGGAGGCAGCAGUGGGGAAUUUUGCGCAAUGGGCGAAAGCCUGACGCAGCAACGCCGCGUGAGCGAUGAAGGCCUUCGGGUUGUAAAGCUCUGUCGAGUGGGAAGAACAAAAUGACGGUACCACUAAAGGAAGCCCCGGCUAACUCCGU
rnacentral:rRNA from 1 species